ensembl:lncRNA
GCUUUGUGGGCAGAACCUGAUGUUCAGAGAGGCCCCAGGCUUGGUUUAAAGUGCUGCUGUUUCCAUCUCAAAAUUCUUUAAUCCCUUUCUCUUUAAACUUGUGUUUUGGCUUCAUGAGCACAGAAUCCCCCUGGAACGAGGAUGCCUGGGAGUUGAGUGAGACAAGACGUGAAGCAAGUACGAGGCGGAUUCUUUACUGCUGGACCACCUGGGAAUCUCCAAGAGCCCACAUGUCUCAAUUAAAAAAACAAAAAACCCUGCAUGCUGCAAGGAAGAUCUCAAGUACCACAGCUAAGACCUGGUGCAGCCAAAUAAAUUUUAAAAAAGGAAAAAGAAGCAAGCAGUUUAAAAUUGACAUUAAAUAACAAGUAAAAGACACCAUGCCAAGUCAAGAGACCCAGAAGAAAGGAAAGAGCAGGUUAUGUAACUGGCUCUGGGUAGAUGACACCUCCAGUUCUGGAAGGUGUGCCAGAAGAGCAGCUGGGCUCAGAGAACCUCUCGUAGUAAGAUUUGGUGAUUUCCAGGAGAACAGGGAAGCGUAAACUUGAGGCCAUCAUCUUCAAAGUGGAAGGUCUUUAGUUACUCAUCAAGUAUGGACCAUGCUGGCUUCAUAAUCUCAGUUGCCCAUGUUGACUAAGGGUCUACAAUGGGCCAAGUACUGGAUACAGGUCGAGAAAAACAACACGCAUGUUGGAAGGAGGCCGGAUACUGGAUGGGCAUAGCCUCACUCCCCCUCCCUCAUGUUCACCUUACUAAAGAAGCAGUAAUGGCUCCCCAGCGUGCAAAGCACUGAAAUGACUAACAGCUGAGCAGGCGACAACCAAGCGGAGCAGGGCCCUGGCUGUGUUCCCACCGCUAAGUCAUGCAGAAGAGGCCAUCUUUACCUCCUCCGAGCCUCCACAGCAGCUAAUGCUAUUAGGAUAAAAGAUGGGUCCAUUUGGGCCCUAAACCUUGAUGUUCAGGUACUCUACAAGGUCAGUGACUGGAGAGAAUGCAAGAGCUGAAGCAGGAGUUUCCAGAGAAGAGGCUGAGCAGCUGUCAAGAAUCAAGAAAUACACCACUCUGGGUAUGUAUGCAUAUUUUAACCAAACAGUCUAUUUCUUCAAAGGACUGCAAAGGGCAAAAGCUUGCCUUCCUUCUAACUUUAUUCCCACACAUCACAGGAGCAAAAGCUUGCCUGAAACAUACCACCUAUUGCUUUCUUUAUUCUCAACUUGCAAAGAGAUUCU